rnacentral:rRNA from 1 species
CCUACGGGUGGCAGCAGUGGGGAAUAUUGCACAAUGGGGGAAACCCUGAUGCAGCGACGCCGCGUGAGUGAAGAAGCGUUUCGGCGCGUAAAGCUCUGUCAGCGGGGAAGAAACACGGUUCGCGAGAGCCGCGGACGGUACCCGACCACGAAGCCCCGGCAAACUCCGUGCCAGCAGCCGCGGUAAUACGGAGGAUGCGAGCGUUAUCCGGAGUUGUUGGGUUUAUAGGGUGCGUAGGCGGAAUGCCAAGUCAGCGGUAAAGUCGCGGGGCUCAACCUCGGUCCGCCGUUGAAACUGGCGUGCUUGAGUGGGCGAGAGGUAUGUGGAAUGCGUGGUGUAGCGGUGAAAUGCAUAGAUAUCACGCAGAACUCCGGUUGCGAAGGCAGCAUACUGGCGCCCAACUGACGCUGAAGCACGAAAGCGUGGGUAUCGAACAGGAUUAGAUACCCGAGUAGUC